GGGCGUAAAGGGCUUCGCAGGCGGUUUUUUAAGUUCUGAAUGUGAAAGCCCCCGGCUCAACCGGGGAGGGUCAUUGGAAACUGGGGAACUUGAGUGCAGAAGAGGAGAGUGGAAUUCCACGUGUAGCGGUGAAAUGCGUAGAGAUGUGGAGGAACACCAGUGGCGAAGGCGACUCUCUGGUCUGUAACUGACGCUGAGGAGCGAAAGCGUGGGGAGCGAACAGGAUUAGAUACCCUGGUAGUCCACGCCGUAAACGAUGAGUGCUAAGUGUUAGGGGGUUUCCGCCCCUUAGUGCUGCAGCUAACGCAUUAAGCACUCCGCCUGGGGAGUACGGUCGCAAGACUGAAACUCAAAGGAAUUGACGGGGGCCCGCACAAGCGGUGGAGCAUGUGGUUUAAUUCGAAGCAACGCGAAGAACCUUACCAGGUCUUGACAUCCUCUGACAAUCCUAGAGAUAGGACGUCCCCUUCGGGGGCAGAGUGACAGGUGGUGCAUGGUUGUCGUCAGCUCGUGUCGUGAGAUGUUGGGUUAAGUCCCGCAACGAGCGCAACCCUUGAUCUUAGUUGCCAGCAUUCAGUUGGGCACUCUAAGGUGACUGCCGGUGACAAACCGGAGGAAGGUGGGGAUGACGUCAAAUCAUCAUGCCCCUUAUGACCUGGGCUACACACGUGCUACAAUGGACAGAACAGAGGGCAGCGAAACCGCGAGGGUUAGCCAAUCCCACAAAUCUGUUCUCAGUUCGGAUCGCAGUCUGCAACUCGACUGCGUGAAGCUGGAAUCGCUAGUAAUCGCGGAUC
rnacentral:rRNA from 1 species